GAUUGAACGCUGGCGGCAGGCCUAACACAUGCAAGUCGAACGGUAACAGGAAGAAGCUUGCUUCUUUGCUGACGAGUGGCGGACGGGUGAGUAAUGUCUGGGAAACUGCCUGAUGGAGGGGGAUAACUACUGGAAACGGUAGCUAAUACCGCAUAACGUCGCAAGACCAAAGAGGGGGACCUUCGGGCCUCUUGCCAUCGGAUGUGCCCAGAUGGGAUUAGCUAGUAGGUGGGGUAACGGCUCACCUAGGCGACGAUCCCUAGCUGGUCUGAGAGGAUGACCAGCCGCACUGGAACUGAGACACGGUCCACACUCCUACGGGAGGCAGCAGUGGGGAAUAUUGCACAAUGGGCGCAAGCCUGAUGCAGCCAUGCCGCGUGUAUGAAGAAGGCCUUCGGGUUGUAAAGUACUUUCAGCGGGGAGGAAGGGAGUAAAGUUAAUACCUUUACUCAUUGACGUUACCCGCAGAAGAAGCACCGGCUAACUCCGUG
rnacentral:rRNA from 1 species